UCUUGGUGACUUACCCUAAAAUCCUAAAUGGUUCAACUUCUCCAACACAUACCCUUUUUAGCUCUUGUUUUCUCCCCCAGCCGUCAUGUAGCAGCAGCCAUCGUAUUAAGAGGGACCAUCAUCUUGUUAGACGGGAUCUUAGAGAUGGUUCUACCUCUUCGGAAGGUUAUAGUUUUUGAUCGUGGUUUCUCUGUUUAAACCUGGACGAUUCCGAUGGGCAUCCUUUAAUCCGGGCCACAUUAAUGGUUCAAAAUGCGAAAGUGAUUCGAAUGUUGUGAAUGUGUGAUAGAACACAUCAAAGAGGUAUACAAGUUGACUAGAAAAGUUGAAAUCGCAGUUGACAACCUAUCAUUUAUAAGCAAUCCACUAUAAAAAUAUCUUACAAAAAGAAAAGGGGAGCUGCCAAAUAUAAGAAGAUGUUUCUUGAUCCAAAUAACCAAACAAUUGAAUUCAAUGAGGAGGGUUUAGCAAUUGGAGCAAAUGCAGGGAAGUUUAUCUCAUUCGCUUGUUUAGAGUUUAGGACAAGGAUUCCUUAUUGUAAACUAGUUAAAGACAUAGACGAAUAGAAGUACGUUGAUGUAUGGGAGUACAUUCAGGUGUUGCUGUUUUUAAAAUUUUUAAUUUUAUAUUUAUUACUUUCUAUGAUUAACUUUGUUUUAAAUACAUAGGAAACACGGAAGAUACCUAACAAUAACGCAAAAGAUACAGUUAUUAAACAAGGAAAGGACUCAAUGAGAAACUUCCGAUGUACACUUGCAAAUGGUUACGCUCAAAAAGAUAAAUCUCCUUUUGAAAUGUAUGCUUUUAUGGACAGAAGUCAUUGGGUUGAUUUUGUUUUAAAAGUAAAAUCUGAAGCUUUUGAGGAAACAAGUCAAAAGGCAAAGAGGAGUGUAGCAAAGAACGCUAAGCGUCCCUGUGUAGGUCGGAUGGGAUUUGUUGGUUUGCAGAAGUUUGAGGAAGAUAGAUGGAGACAACUUUUAGAAAGCUACCCACACCUACAUAAUUUGGAAGGUGAAGAUGUAAAACAAUAUGCUAUUAGCAGAGCGCGAUACUAUUCCGUUACAAAGUUAUAUGAACUUCCAAAACACCUAUUUUCAAAUGGUGAAUUGACAAGAACACUUCACGACAUGUAUGAUAAAGAGAUAGAGAAGAAGAAAGAUGAUACAUAUGAUAAACAUGGAAAUGAUGUGGUUACUGAAGUGAUCGGUAAGGGACAUCAGCACGGAGGGCGUCUUGGUGCUACAAUUACCUUGCAUUCCAAAAAGAAAAAAAAAGAAGUCUAAGGGGGCACAAAUAGUAAGAGAAGAGAUUGACGCUAUACAAAAAGAUUAGUAUCGUGUUACUGCGGCGGCUCAAGCAAGCUCGAUUAUUCGACUACCAGAAAUCAAGACGGGAUCUUAGAGAUGGUUCUACCUCGUCGGAGGUUAUAGUUUUGGACUUGGACUUGGACUUGGAUUUUGGCUUUGGAUUUCAAUCGUGGUUUCUCUGUUUAGACCUGGACGAUUCCCAAUGCGCAUUCUUUAAUCCGAGCCACAUUAAUGGUUCAAAAUGCAAAAGUGAUUCGAAUAUUGUGAAUGUGUGAUAGAACACAUCAAAGAUGUAUACAAGUUGACUAGAAAAAUUGACAUCUCAAUUGACAACCUAUCAUUUUUAAGGUAUGAAGAACUAUGAAAAAACUAAAGGUUUAACUAUACGGGCCAGGUGUUACAAUAGAGAAAUUUUAGUUGUCGGGGAAGGGGGUGGCUCUAAUAUAUAUAGUAUAUUAGAUGAUGUUGUAUGUUCUAUAUAAACUCUUAAAGAUUGAAUGGCUCAAUUCAUUUCUCAACCCAUUCACAUGGUUCUUGAUCCUUAGAAACAUACAUGAUCAUACUUGUAUCACUUUGCUACAUCAUAGCAACAACAAAUGAUAUAUAAUUUAACCUUGAUUCUAGUUUUAGUUUGGGAUGA